CACGUAGGGUGCGAGCGUUGUCCGGAUUUAUUGGGCGUAAAGAGCUCGUAGGCGGCUUGUCGCGUCGUCCGUGAAAACUUGGGGCUCAACCCCAAGCUUGCGGUCGAUACGGGCAGGCUAGAGUUCGGUAGGGGAGACUGGAAUUCCUGGUGUAGCGGUGAAAUGCGCAGAUAUCAGGAGGAACACCGGUGGCGAAGGCGGGUCUCUGGGCCGAUACUGACGCUGAGGAGCGAAAGCGUGGGGAGCGAACAGG
rnacentral:rRNA from 1 species